rnacentral:lncRNA from 1 species
CAGAACUUAAAGUAUAAUAAAAAAAAAUUUAAAAAAGACUCUGUCUCAAAAAUAAAUAAAUAAAUAAAUAGAGCCUUAUAACUCACUGUAGCCUUAAGCAGUUCUCCCACCUCAGCCUCCUGAGUAGCUGGAACUACAGGUGCCUAUUCACUCUUACUGCUAUAUGAUAAUCCAUUAUAUGAAUAUACCACAAUAUAUUUCUCUUUUCUCCUGUUAAUGAACAUUUGGAUCGUUUGUAGUUUGGAGCUAUUAUGAAUACUGCUGAGAUGAACAUUUUAGUACCAUAUUUUGGUGAACAUAUGCAUGCAUUUCUGUUUUAUGGGUGUAUAGCUAGGAGUAGAGUGUAUACCAUUGAGUGUAUACCUAGGAUUGGAAUUUUUGGAUCAUAAGGUAGGUAUACGUCCUAAUAAAUAUUGCUAAACAUUAAAAAAAAAAGAAAAGAUCCUUACUAAACGAAAGCAAUAAGACUUUGUCUUGUAUGGUGGAUAAACUGAGAAAUUAGAAUACAUACUUGGAAUUUGGAUAUUAA